AAGAUUUAACAUAGACUUGCUGUAGAGUAGAUUUAACAAAAACCCUUUUUUGUGAAUUCAUUGUUGCUGGGCUUAAGCUAUUGUUCUGUUUUUGAUUUCUCCGGUUGCCCAAAAUAUUAAAAAAAAAAAAAAAAAAAAAUGGCGAGCUUCUUUCAGAGACUCGCUAAAGCUACUCCUGUAGCAUUCGCCAAUGCAUCUGGGAGCCAACCCAAGUCCGGUUAUAGAAUUCCUUUCGGAGCACUUGCAGCAGUUUCUGGUGGAAUCUCUUAUCUGCACUAUGUUGCCUCACCUGACAUGAUUUUCAUUUGAUCGCACUGCCAAGUUGGGUUUAGAGCAGUGUUCUAAAAGGCAUAAGGCAUCACAAGACUGCAAGAUCAAGUCUUACGAGCCUAGGCGUGUCUAUACUAGAUAUGAAAAGGCAUUUCACAAUUGUAUUAUUAUUUUAAUUAUUAUAAAGCUAUUAAAUAAACAAAAUAAUUCAUAUUUUUAGAUGUCAAAAAAUAUAUAAGUCUAUAUUACCUUUGUAUGUGUAAUAAAUAUGAAUUAAUAUGUAAUUGAUCAUAAUAAAUUUAUAAAAAUUCAUGUUUUCCAAGUUUUCAAUAACAAAUUAGUUUCAAAACUCUACCAGUACUUAAGAAUUCUUCGAUUAAUACAUACUUUAACUAUUACCAUAAUUCUUCGAUUAAUACAUACUUUAACUAUUACCAUAAUCUAACACUUAUCUAAUUUUUUAUUGAACUCCAAUUUAAUAUUUACAUCUUCAUCCAACUCAUCUUUUAUGACAUCCAAUACAAAAUCAUUUUUCUUGGGCUCUCUAAUUUCAACUUGAGCAUUUCUAGUACUUUUUUUAGGUGGUAACAUAUCAUUCUCCAUCUCAUCAUCAUUUUCAUUAUCAUCACAACUUUCGGCAAUCCAUGAAUGUGCAUUGCUAGCAUCACUUGCUAGUAGAGUUUCUUAUUCCUUUUUUUAUUUCAUUUUUUUCUUUUUUUGUUAAAUUUUCUCUCUAAUUCCUUCAUCCUUAUACAUUAUGUUUUCAUUUUUUUUGUUUAAGGAAAAAAAAAAUUAAUCUUAAAAAAGUUUUCAUUUUUUAACAAUAUUUUUUAUUUUUUUAUUUUUAUUUUUUAAUUUCUUAUAAAUUGUUUUUUGACAUUUUUUAAAAAUAAUCUUAAAAAAAAAAAAAUUGAACAAAAAGGCUUGCGCUUUUUAGGGCCUAGGCGCUUAUUAGGUUGUCAAUACAGCGUUGGCCUUUUUUUUUUUCUAAGUAUUGCUACUAUGCAAGACGUUAUCUAAAAGCAUUUUCCCGUCUUUUAGAACACUGGUUUAGAUAUUGCUUCAUGCCUCCUCACAAGGGCUCCAUUGGGACAAGAUGCUGAAGGAAAACUUAAAUAUGUCGUGUGUCCAUAAGUCUCUUUCUUGAAAAAAUGCACAUGCAGUUUUUCUCAUUUUUGUACUGGAUUGUUUGAAAUUGUAUACUCCAAUAUCAGAUCCAGAUGCGAAGGGAUAUUUUGACUUAUUAAUUAAGGUGUACCCAGAAGGAAAAAUGAGUCAGCAUUUUGCAAGCUUAAACCAGGUGAUGUGGUUGAAGUGAAGGUGUAGAUUUCCCAUCCUGUAUUAUUGGCUGAGGAUAUAUGUGCUGAAUCAUCUUUAUUUAUCGAUCCUGGCCCUAUGUCAAUUCAUUAAGGGUUUAUAAAUCAUAGGUCUAAUGCUGGUUUGGUUUAGUAAUUUUAGUUUUAAGGAUCGAAUACACAGGCUUAAAAGAAUGAAUAGUGGUUGUAUAUGUGUUUUUCAAAGCAGCUUUCAUGCAUAUAACUACAUGACGCAUCUGGAAGCAUACUAAAGUGGGAGAUUCAUGAUUAAUCUAUUUAACUUUUGUUUUUAAACAGAUUCAAAACAGUAACCCUUUGGAUGAGUAUCUUGUAUUUCUUGAAGAAAUCUUGUGUUUCCUUAAGUCCUGCCGGCCAUGAAAAAGCAUAAUGGAGAAUAGUUUUGUGGGUCAUUUUUGGUGGGCAUGGUGUGCUGAAAGUUAACAACGUCCAUAGUAUUGCAUCUCAGAUUGUCAUAGAGACAAUUUAAUUGGGCUUAUUUUAAUUUUGCAAAACCAAUGGACACAUCUGGCACAGAAAGCUUUGGAUAUUCUGCCAUUUAAAGUGGAAAUAUUUCAGAUUACUGACUGGCUUAUGAAUAUCACGAGCAUGUGUUGAAGCCAAAAUGCUGAAUGCUAACUGAUGAUGAGAAGCAGAAACUUGGAAAGAAAAACAGCAUAGAAGAAAUGCAGGUUAUUGGUUUUAACUAGAGACUGCAAAUGUGAAAUUGGAUAGGCUUUUUUUUUUUUUUUUUUUUUAAUUUUUUAUAUUCAAAUAAUUUAAUUUAUUUUCUCUCAAAAAUUAGUUUCCUCAUUUAUAUAUAAACAUAAUGUAUGGUAUAGCAAAAUGUCAAGACUCAGAUAUUUAUAGUUGGUCUCCACGGAUUAAGUGAUAUAUGUCUAAACAAAUUAGAGAUACUCAAUAGAAACACAUGCCAAAUGGGUAGGUGGACAUACAUAUAUUUUGAAAAAGCUUUCAAGUGGAGUACUACUAGGGGGGUCAAUGUUUUGCAUGGCAGUCAUGCUGCAGCUUCUUAGAAAAUGAAGUUGCUAGAUGACAGUAGAGGUAGUAAUUAUGAGUGGAGCCUUUUUUUGGCUUAAAGUAAUUAUGAGUGGAGUCUUUUACCAUCAUUUGAGCACAAUUGUAUAUCUAUAAUGGCAUUCCACUGAGCAUGAUUAAUUGAUGCAUUGGGUUUAUUAAA